ACGGGAGGCAGCAGGVGGGAAUAUUGGGCAAUGGACGAAMGUCUGACCCAGCGACGCCGCGUGCGGGAUGAAGGCCUUCGGGUUGUAAACCKCUUUCAGCAGGGAAGAAGCGAAAGUGACGGUACCURCAGAAGAAGCACCGGCUAACUAYGUGCCAGCAGCCGCGGUAAUACAUAGGGUGCAAGCGUUGUCCGGAAUUAUUGGGCGUAAAGAGCUCGUAGGYGGUUHGUUACGUCGGAUGUGAAAAYCUGAGGCUCAACCUCAGACCUGCAUUCGAUACGGGCRAACUAGAGUGUGGUAGGGGAGACUGGAAUUCCUGGUGUAGCGGUGGAAUGCGCAGAUAUCAGGAGGAACACCAAUGGCGAAGGCAGGUCUCUGGCCAUUACUGACACUGAGGAGCGAAAGCGUGGGGAGCGAACAGAAUUAGAAACCCCCG
rnacentral:rRNA from 1 species